rnacentral:rRNA from 1 species
UCGGGAAUUUUGGGCAAUGGGCGAAAGCCUGACACAGCAACGCCGCGUGAAGGAUGAAGUCCCUCGGGAUGUAAACUUCGUAAGAAUAGGAAGAAUAAAUGACGGUACUAUUUGUAAGGUCCGGCUAACUACGUGCCAGCAGCCGCGGUAAUACGUAGGGACCAAGCGUUGUUCGGAUUUACUGGGCGUAAAGGGUGCGUAGGCGGCAUAUCAAGUCACUUGUGAAAUCUCCGGGCUUAACUCGGAACUGCCAAGUGAUACUGAUGUGCUAGAGUGCAGAAAGGGCAACCGGAAUUCUUGGUGUAGCGGUGAAAUGCGUAGAUAUCAAGAGGAACACCUGAGGCGAAGGCGGGUUGCUGGGCUGAUACUGACGCUGAGGCGCGAAAGCUAGGGUAGCAAACGGGAUUAGAUACCCGAGUAGUCCCUGAGCGGGCUGGCAAGGCGCAU